GCCUGGGUGGCUCAGUCAGUUGAGCGUCUGACUUCAGCUCAGGUCAUGAUCUCACGGUUUGUGGGUUCGAGCCCCGCAUCGGGCU
rnacentral:tRNA from 1 species